rnacentral:rRNA from 2 species
GGACUACAAGGGUUUCUAAUCCUGUUUGAUCCCCACGCUUUCGUGCCUCAGCGUCAAUAUCUGCUUAGUUAGCUGCCUUCGCAAUCGGUGUUCUAAGUCAUAUCUAUGCAUUUCACCGCUACAUGACUUAUUCCGCCAACCUCAACAGAAUUCAAGAUCAAUAGUAUCAAUGGCAGUUUCCAAGUUGAGCUCGGAGAUUUCACCACUGACUUAAAGACCCGCCUACACACCCUUUAAACCCAGUAAAUCCGGAUAACGCUUGCACCCUCCGUAUUACCGCGGCGGCUGGCAC